AGAAAUGGUUCCUUUAGGCAUCAGCCUUGCUGGCUCUAAAAAGUAAGGAAUCCCCAUUCCCCCACCCAGCUAGAGAGAGGCACAGACCACAGAGAAACCCCCAGGGCAGCUCUCCCUGAGGACUGCAGAAAGAGCCUGUGUUCCAGGCCUGAAUCUACAAAGAGAUGAAUAAAAUGCAGUCCAUGCCCUUGAAGAGGUCAAUCUGGCAGAGGAGACAGAUGGAAUCAUUAGCUUCGUGAUCUCAGGAACCCUGUGUUUCAGUUUUCUCGACAGUGAGAUGGGAGUACUAUCCUCUACCUUGAGAUCAGACCGAAGAGAAGGAAGAUCAGGCCCUCCAAGUCAGGGUCACCUGAGGACUCUGUUCCAAAUGACUCAAAGAGGAACUGAUAGGGGG